GUUGCUUUUGAUCGGUGGUGUACAUAUCAUUUGGGUUACCUCUAGAGAAGCUACAUAGAUUGUGGGAAAAAAAAUUUUGAGGCACCAGAAAGUGUUCCAUCCUCUUCUUCGUGUUCUUUGGAACUGGGAAGUUUGGUUUCUCUAAAAUGGCAUUGGCUGAAUCAUACACUGAACAAAUGGUUUUACUAGAGUUAGGUUAUGAAUAUUGAGCCAUCGUUGGGAUACCUUCAGAGAAGUUUAAACAUCUUAUCAUACA